rnacentral:rRNA from 1 species
CGCGUAGGCGGCUCUGUUUGUCGCGUGUGAAAGCCCCGGGCUCAACCUGGGAGGUGCGCGCGAGACGGCAGGGCUGGAGUUCGGGAGAGGAGCGUGGAAUUCCCAGUGUAGAGGUGAAAUUCGUAGAUAUUGGGAAGAACACCGGUGGCGAAGGCGGCGCUCUGGACCGAGACUGACGCUGAGGCGCGAAAGCGUGGGGAGCAAACAGGAUUAGAUACCCUGGUAGUCCACGCUGUAAACGAUGUGUGCUAGACGUUGGGAGGCCUAGCCUCUCGGUGUCGCAGCCAACGCGGUAAGCACACCGCCUGGGGAGUACGGCCGCAAAGGUUAAA